AAAUAUUCUGUGAAAAAUUGAAUCUUUCCAUCUCUAAGGACCACUCUAGGAGCAGACGAAGAUCCCUGGCCUUCAUAAUUAAUUGUAGAAGUAGCUUGGAUAUUUGUUUUUUCUCGCAAUUUCAAGGUUGAGAAGAACCUAUUUGUUUGUGGUUUGGUGGCAGUGCUGUUUUGAGUUGGGCAGAAUUCAACGUAUAAAUUUUUUCUUGUUUUAAUUGGAACAUCAAAUGCGGAGCUACUAUAGAAUAUUGGGAAAAAAACUUUCUGUUUUCUUUAUCAAUCGUCUGGUUUGUUUGGCAAUUCCCAUCUGAAAGAAAUUGCUGACAAUGACAUGUAUCAGAUUUGAGUGCUAAAUUUCAAUUACUCUUCUUGAUCUUUUGCUUUAUUCCAGUGCUUGAUGCCUGUCUGGAGAUGGGAAUAAAUUUCCAAUGAAAAGAAACUAUAUUUGAGCAAGGAGUUUGAAGGAACAAAGGGGAAUGAUAAUUUAGAAUAGAGUCUGAUAUUGCAUCAUCUUUGAACUAUUAAGCUCUGUUUUAAUUAAUAAUGCUGUAGAGAGCUACUUGCAAUUAGCCCUCUGAAUCUAGAGAGUAUGAUGGCCCAA
rnacentral:misc_RNA from 1 species